AACGAACGCUGGCGGCAGGCCUAACACAUGCAAGUCGAACGCCCUAGCAAUAGGGAGUGGCAGACGGGUGAGUAACACGUGGGAACCUUCCCUAUACUACGGAAUAGCCCAGGGAAACUUGGAGUAAUACCGUAUACGCCCGAGAGGGGAAAGAUUUAUCGGUAUAGGAUGGGCCCGCGUCGGAUUAGCUAGUUGGUGAGGUAAUGGCUCACCAAGGCGACGAUCCGUAGCUGGUUUGAGAGAACGACCAGCCACACUGGGACUGAGACACGGCCCAGACUCCGACGGGAGGCAGCAGUGGGGAAUAUUGGACAAUGGGCGAAAGCCUGGUCCAGCCAUGCCGCGUGAGUGAUGAAGGCCUUAGGGUUGUAAAGCUCUUUUGCCGGGGACGAUAAUGACGGUACCCGGAGAAUAAGUCCCGGCUAACUUCGUGCCAGCCGCCGCCGUAA
rnacentral:rRNA from 1 species